rnacentral:rRNA from 1 species
CCUACGGGAGGCAGCAGUGAGGAAUAUUGGUCAAUGGUCGGGAGACUGAACCAGCCAAGCCGCGUGAGGGAUGAAGGUACAGAGUAUCGUAAACCUCUUUUGUCAGGGAACAAAGGCGGGGACGUGUCCCCGGAUGAGUGUACCUGAAGAAAAAGCAUCGGCUAACUCAGUGCCAGCAGCCGCGGUAAUACGGAGGAUUCGAGCGUUAUCCGGAUUUAUUGGGUUUAAAGGGUGCGCAGGCGGUCUGUUAAGUCAGCGGGCAAAGCCCGGGGCUCAACCCCGGCCCGCCGUUGAAACUGGCAGUCUCGAGUUGGAGAGAAGUAUGCGGAAUGCGCGGUGUAGCGGUGAAAUGCAUAGAUAUCGCGCAGAACUCCGAUUGCGAAGGCAGCAUGCCGGCUCCACACUGACGCUGAGGCACGAAAGCGUGGGUAUCGAACAGGAUUAGAUACCCUUGUAGUC